rnacentral:rRNA from 1 species
ACAAGCGGUGGAGCAUGUGGUUUAAUUCGAAGCAACGCGAAGAACCUUACCAGGUCUUGACAUCCCCUGACAACCCGAGAGAUCGGGCGUUCCCCCUUCGGGGGGACAGGGUGACAGGUGGUGCAUGGUUGUCGUCAGCUCGUGCCGUGAGGUGUCGGGUUAAGUCCCAUAACGAGCGCAACCCCUACCGCCAGUUGCCAACGGGUAAAGCCGGGGACUCAGGCGGGACUGCCGGCGUAAGCCGAGAGGAAGGCGGGGAUGACGUCAAAUCAGCACGGCCCUUACGUCCAGGGCUACACACGUGUUACAAUGGCCGGUACAGAGGGAGGCGACCCCGCGAGGGGGAGCGGAUCCCGAAAGCCGGUCGUAGUUCGGAUCGGGGUCUGGAACCCGACCCCGUGAAGCCGGAUUCGCUAGUAAUCGCGCAUCAGCCAUGGCGCGGUGAAUACGUUCCCGGGCCUU